UCAACUUGAAGGGAAAUUGAAAACUUUAAAUAACGUGUUCAUAUAACAACAAAACAUAAGUUCUGUCAAGUUUCUUUCAAAUGCGCAUGUGCCAGAAACUCUACGUCACGAUGACGUACUAUUUUACCGAAUUUGAGACAGACGCGCCAUCCGCCAUUUUCUGCACGAGAAGCUGCUGCAAGAUCACGCAAGAAAAGAUGAUGAAGGAGCCCGCGUUUGAACGACUACAGAAUAAAGAUGGACUUUAUGGACCGCAAAUAAUGAAAUGAGAUCAGUACAGUGGAAGCACAACUCCAUAUCGAUGAGGUGGUGUUGCAAGAUUUGUAUACACCAAAAACCUUCUUGCUUUACUAAGAGAACAUUCAAAAAGUUCGAGUUGAUCCUGUUCCAGAUUCUGUUGACGGCCUCAAGCUUGAACCUAAAAGCAGGCUCCAGCUGAAAGACACUUUUGACCUUCAAUAAGAAGAUGAAGACUUCCAUGAUUUCUGUAACCUUACAUGUGUAGCUGAUCUGUCCAAAGACAAGAUCAGCAAAGAAUUCACCAGGCUUGUGUUAAAGGACCUGAGCAAGUCUGUUUUUGAAGGCCUAGAUGGUCAUCUCUCGAAGCUGAUGCAGUUAUUCAGGUCAAAGCAUUCCAGAAAUGACUUCAAUACUAGAGAGCCUUAAUAAGGAUACAACAAAGGAUGAGGACAGCAGCAUUGCUGGGCCUGCCAUGGUACAUGCGAGAGACUCAAAAUUCAUGAAGAUAUGCAAGCCCAGUGAGCGUGAAGAGGAUUUGAUCAAGGGUGUGGUGAUUGGAAUCCUAAUGGUUGUGGGAAAUGUGAUGGAACCUCUCCCAGCGAUCUACAAUGACGUUGCCCUGGUGAUUGAGGAAGAAGUGGUAAUGCAUCACCUUAGUGAUAUACCUAAUGCUUUUCUGAACCUGAUGGGCCUGGACUAUCCAAACAUUGACUACCCAAAGGAAUUAAAAUUCACUUUUGAAGUGAUACAGCACCCGUUUAUAGGAGUGGGAUCAGACUUUUGCACUGCAAGUGUUCACUCUUUGAAGAGGAGGUUGCUGCGAUAAGAUGGAAAACGAACAAUCUUUUUUCCUUCUUGCUACUGUUUAAAGGAAUAGUUCACCCAGAAAAAUGAAAAUGUGAUGUUUAUCUGCUUAACCCCAGCGCAUCCAAGAUGUAGGUGACUUUGUUUCUUCAGUAGAACACAAAUUAUGAUUUUUAACUCCCAACGGUUGUGGUCU